rnacentral:rRNA from 1 species
UACGGAGGGGGUUAGCGUUGUUCGGAAUGACUGGGCGUAAAGCGCGCGUAGGCGGAUCAGGAAGUUGGGGGUGAAAUCCCGGGGCUCAACCCGGAAUGGCCUUCAAAACUCCUGGUCUUGAGUUCGAGAGAGGUGAGUGGAAUUCCGAGUGUAGAGGUGAAAUUCGUAGAUAUUCGGAGGAACACCAGUGGCGAAGGCGGCUCACUGGCUCGACACUGACGCUGAGGUGCGAAAGCGUGGGGAGCAAACAGG